rfam:Picoides pubescens contig39018, whole genome shotgun sequence.
CUGUGGCCUGGUUCAAGUAAUCCAGGAUAGGCUGUAUCCAUUCUAGUUGGCCUAUUCUUGGUUACUUGCACUGGGAGGCAG